AGAGUGAAUCGGCGCGGAGCGUGUUUCGGACAAUACAGAUUAUUCUGGGCACGAGGACCGGAUGCUGCGAACGGUCGGCAGGACGUGGAUUUACACGCCACGCUCAGCUGGAGAGAGAUUCUGACCGCUCUCGUUGGUUUUUUGCAUUAGACUGCAUCGUGUUAGAGAGAGACUGCACAAUUUCUAAGACCGGAGCCUGCCUUUCGACAUUCAAAGCCGUCCGCUCUCCACGUUGACGGCGGCGCGGAGGCCGGUCGUCCCCCUAACUUUCUUAUUCAAGAUGUUUUGAGAGCAAUUUAACUUGGACUUCGGCCGAAGAGCACCGGAGAGUCUCGGAGUCGCCCGUGAGUGAGAAGGGAAUUAAGAGCGGAAUAAAACGCGCGGAAGGUAAGCGACUGUGCCGGGCCGUAAUACGGGAAUACGGAGGAGCGACUUGCGGCAGGUUGCAUCGUUCAUCGCGGACAAGUUAA